rnacentral:lncRNA from 1 species
AUGAACAUAAAAACAGGACUAAUGUUUAAUUGUUUUAGUAAAAAAAAGUAUGUACUAUUUAAUAUCAAAAGAAAAUGGGUUUUAUUAAAUAAAAGUUAUAUAAGCAAAUUAAUAUAUACAAAAGAAGAUGAAAUAUAUAAAAUUAACAACUUGGCUGAUUUCCCAAGUUUGAAUAAUUUGAAUAAUAAAAAAAUAUUAGAGUUAAGCGAAGACAGUAGUAAUAUAUUUUCUAAUAGUAAUCUUGAUCAUGUUAUAUCACUACCGAACAAUAAAACUGGUAAAAACAGUGGUGGUAAAGAAAGUGGUAAGAAAAAUAAUAAUGACGAAGACAAUAAUGAAACAGAAAAGAAUGACUAUAAGAAAGAUCCUAAAUUUGAUUUGAAAUUAUCCCCUAACAAUGAAAUGUUAAAUAACAUGUAUAAUUUGAAUAAUAAAUUUAUACCUUCUGAUUACGAGUUACAAUUAUAUAAAAACAAUUGUCGAAUAUCAUAUUAUUGGAUUAAAAAAUUAAACAAAUUAAAAAAUAUCAAUGCAAUUAAUUGUUUAGAAUAUUUAAAAGAUGACAAUUUAUUAUAUUAUGACUGUUAUAAAAAUAAAGGUUUACUUAAGUUUUUGAAUGAAGAAAAAAAAAAAUAUAGUAAUUGUAUAAUUUUGUCUAGAGUUGGUGAUUUUUAUGAAACAUAUGGACUAGAUUCCAUUUUUUUAAUUGAGUUUUUAAAUAUAAAAAAAAUGAAUAAUAAAUUAUCAUGUGGUUUUAUAAAAACUAGUAUUAAUAAAGCGUUAAGUAUAUUAACAAAUAAUAAUUUAAACAUAUGUAUUUAUGAAGAAAUGAAUGAAAAGUCUUUACAAUUAAAAAAAAGAUAUCUUUCUCAGAUUGUUACUCCAGAAUAUCCAAUUUAUUUAAAUAAUAUACAGUAUUAUAAUAGUAUUAAUAAUUUAUCAGAAAAUGGUAUAACUACAGAAACUGAUUCUACUACAUUUAGCAAUAACUUACCCGAAUCGACACAAAUUAAUAACAGUUGUAAUAAAAAUAGUGUUAUAAAUAAUAUCAGCACAAAUGAUUAUAAUUGGACUAAAACGAAUGAUUGUAUAAAGACAAGUACAGAAUCAUUAAAUAACAGUUUUUUUAAUUCAUAUGAUUUGGAUAAUUAUAUUGACAUUAAAGAAAUAGUAUGUAUAUAUAUAGAAAGUAAAAAUAUUUUUUCUCUUAGUAAAAUAAAUUUAAGUUUAAAAACUAUUGCUAUAUAUGAUAAUAUAACAUUUGAUGUUUUAAAUAUAUAUUUAAAAAAUAGCAAUUUUUUAAAAGUAUAUAUACAUCAACAUAAUAAUACAAAUUUUACCAAAAAAAUAACUCAACUAUUUCAAAUUGAAAAUUAUUAUUUA